AGCGAACGCUGGCGGCAUGCCUAACACAUGCAAGUCGAACGAGACCUUCGGGUCUAGUGGCGCACGGGUGCGUAACGCGUGGGAACCUGCCCUUAGGUUCGGAAUAACUCCCCGAAAGGGGUGCUAAUACCGGAUAAUGUCUUCGGACCAAAGAUUUAUCGCCUUUGGAUGGGCCCGCGUUGGAUUAGCUAGUUGGUAGGGUAAAAGCCUACCAAGGCGACGAUCCAUAGCUGGUCUGAGAGGAUGAUCAGCCACACUGGGACUGAGACACGGCCCAGACUCCUACGGGAGGCAGCAGUGGGGAAUAUUGGACAAUGGGCGAAAGCCUGAGCCAGCAAUGCCGCGUGAGUGAUGAAGGCCUUAGGGUUGUAAAGCUCUUUUACCCGGGAUGAUAAUGACAGUACCGGGAGAAUAAGCUCCGGCUAACUCCGUG
rnacentral:rRNA from 1 species